GAAAUGCGAUAAGUAAUGUGAAUUGCAGAAUUCAGUGAAUCAUCGAAUCUUUGAACGCACAUUGCGCCCGCCAGUAUUCUGGCGGGCAUGCCUGUCCGAGCGUCAUUUCAACCAUCAAGCCCCCGGGCUUGUGUUGGGGACCUGCGGCUGCCCGCAGGCCCUGAAAACCAGUGGCGGGCUCGCUGUCACACCGAGCGUAGUAGCAAUCACCUCGCUCAGGGCGUGCUGCGGGUUCCGGCCGUUAAACAGCCUUACAAAACCCAAUGUUGACCUCGGAUCAGGUAGGAAGACCCGCUGAGCUUAAGC
rnacentral:misc_RNA from 1 species